rnacentral:lncRNA from 1 species
CAGGGUUAGAAAAUCAAAAGUAUGUAGGAAUAAAUUUCAUAAAUAGACCGAGAUUUAAAAUAGUCCAAAAGUUAUAUAGAAUUUAUAAGAAUCCACAAAAUUACUAGUUAAUUCCACUACGCGAUUGAAUGAUUUUGACGUUUGUGGUUCAACGUAUUUUGUAAUUCAUAAUAGAAAUAUAUCAUAAUGACAUAAAAUAGAACAAUAUCAUACUAGCUGACGGGAUCUUUUAAAGUACAGAGUCACGUUAUAAGAACCAAAGAAAUACAAAAAGUUGCAUACACAAAACACAUCACAAAAAAAUGAAAGACAAUACAAACACAUUGACGGGAUGUAUAAGUACCGAGCCACGUUAAACGGAUAUCACAUAAAACAAUCCAACAGUAAAAGUAAUAUUGAUAAUAGAACAAAUACAAAUGAAAGAACAAUAAAACACGUUGUUAAGAUGAUAAACAGCAUCAGUACGCAGAAUCUAUACUUCAAGAC